rnacentral:rRNA from 1 species
CGCGUAGGCGGUUUGCUAAGUCAGUUGUUAAAUACCCCGGCUUACCUGGGGACCAGCAAUUGAUACUGGUAGACUAAGAGGGCAAGAGAGAGAAGUGGAAUUCUCGGAGUAGCGGUAAAAUGCGUAGAUCUCGAGAGGAACACCGAUAGCGAAGGCAGCUUCUUGGCUUGUACCUGACGCUGAGGCGCGAAAGCGUGGGGAGCAAACA